UGGCGGCCUGCGCCGCCUUAAGUGCCGCGCCAGCCCGGGGCGGCCCAGUCGGCCUGUCAGCCGGCUUCGAGAUAAGUCCCGGCGCUUGCGCGGCGGCGGCUAUGGCGGCGGAGGAGGAGGAGGUGGACUCUGCCGACACCGGAGAGAGGUCAGGAUGGCUAACUGGUUGGCUCCCCACAUGGUGCCCUACGUCUAUAUCACACCUUAAAGAAGCUGAAGAGAAGAUGUUAAAAUGUAAGGCUUUCUUCUUGUAAGUUAAAUGAGCUGUGUACUAAGAUAGGUCCAAUAUAUCUCAUUGCCCUGAAACUGGAGGUAAGAUUCUGUGGUGUGUUCAUUGUUGGCAAAAUAACUUUUUUCCUUUUCCUUGUCAUUAGAAAGUACAGAAAUGAAUGUCGGGGGCUGGCAGGUAGGAGUUCUAAAACUUUUUGGUCUUGGGCCCCUGUUAUACUCUUAAAUUAGUAAGGACCCCAAGGAGAUUUGUUUAUGGGCUUAUUAUCAAUAUUUAUCAUUUCUAAUACAAUUAGAAAUUAAAAUUGAAUAAUCAAAAAUGUUAAUUUAUUAAUUUCUUUAAAAAUAAUAGUAAACCCAUUACAGAUUAAAAUAAAUAAAAUUUGUACC
rnacentral:lncRNA from 10 species